rnacentral:rRNA from 1 species
GAUGAACGCUAGCUACAGGCUUAACACAUGCAAGUCGAGGGGCAGCAUGAUUGAAGCUUGCUUCAAUCGAUGGCGACCGGCGCACGGGUGAGUAACACGUAUCCAACCUGCCGAUAACUCGGGGAUAGCCUUUCGAAAGAAAGAUUAAUACCCGAUAGUAUAGUAUUUCCGCAUGGUUUCACUAUUAAAGAACUUCGGUUAUCGAUGGGGAUGCGUUCCAUUAGAUAGUUGGCGGGGUAACGGCCCACCAAGUCAACGAUGGAUAGGGGUUCUGAGAGGAAGGUCCCCCACAGUGGAGCUGAGACACGGUCCAAACGCCUACGGGAGGCAGCAGUGAGGAAUAUUGGUCAAUGGACGAGAGUCUGAACCAGCCAAGUAGCGUGAAGGAUGACUGCCCUAUGGGUUGUAAACUUCUUUUAUACGGGAAUAAAGUGGAGUAUGCAUACUCCUUUGUAUGUACCGUAUGAAUAAGGAUCGGCUAACUCCGUG